GAUGAACGCUGGCGGCGUGCCUAAUACAUGCAAGUCGAGCGAACAGACGAGGAGCUUGCUCCUCUGACGUUAGCGGCGGACGGGUGAGUAACACGUGGAUAACCUACCUAUAAGACUGGGAUAACUUCGGGAAACCGGAGCUAAUACCGGAUAAUAUAUUGAACCGCAUGGUUCAAUAGUGAAAGACGGUUUUGCUGUCACUUAUAGAUGGAUCCGCGCCGCAUUAGCUAGUUGGUAAGGUAACGGCUUACCAAGGCAACGAUGCGUAGCCGACCUGAGAGGGUGAUCGGCCACACUGGAAAUGAGACGCGGUCCAGACUCCUACGGGAGGCAGCAGUAGGGAAUCUUCCGCAAUGGGCGAAAGCCUGGCGGAGCAACGCCGCGUGAGUGAUGAAGGUCUUCGGAUCGUAAAACUCUGUUAUUAGGGAAGAACAAAUGUGUAAGUAACUAUGCACGUCUUGACGGUACCUAAUCAGAAAGCCACGGCUAACUACGUG
rnacentral:rRNA from 1 species